rnacentral:rRNA from 1 species
AUUGAACGCUGGCGGCAGGCCUAACACAUGCAAGUCGAGCGGAUGAAGGGAGCUUGCUCCUGGAUACAGCGGCGGACGGGUGAGUAAUGCCUAGGAAUCUGCCUGGUAGUGGGGGAUAACGUCCGGAAACGGGCGCUAAUACCGCAUACGUCCUGAGGGAGAAAGUGGGGGAUCUUCGGACCUCACGCUAUCAGAUGAGCCUAGGUCGGAUUAGCUAGUUGGUGGGGUAAAGGCCUACCAAGGCGACGAUCCGUAACUGGUCUGAGAGGAUGAUCAGUCACACUGGAACUGAGACACGGUCCAGACUCCUACGGGAGGCAGCAGUGGGGAAUAUUGGACAAUGGGCGAAAGCCUGAUCCAGCCAUGCCGCGUGUGUGAAGAAGGUCUUCGGAUUGUAAAGCACUUUAAGUUGGGAGGAAGGGCAGUAAGUUAAUACCUUGCUGUUUUGACGUUACCAACAGAAUAAGCACCGGCUAACUUCGU